UACGUAGGGUGCAAGCGUUGUCCGGAAUUAUUGGGCGUAAAGAGCUCGUAGGAGGUUCGUCGCGUCGGCUGUGAAAACCUGAGGCUCAACCUCAGGCCUGCAGUCGAUACGGGCGGACUUGAGUACUGCAGGGGAGACUGGAAUUCCUGGUGUAGCGGUGAAAUGCGCAGAUAUCAGGAGGAACACCGGUGGCGAAGGCGGGUCUCUGGGCAGUAACUGACGCUGAGGAGCGAAAGCGUGGGGAGCGAACAGG
rnacentral:rRNA from 1 species